CUCGUCCACGGCUUGGACCCCAUCGAUGGUUAGUGUGGCCGUGGUGCCGGACUUGGAUCCAGAGAAUCGUGAAGGGAUGUCCGAGGGUCUCUUAUCGUUAACAUAGAUCACAGUGACAGGGGCACUGUCAGGUACCUUCAGCUGGUACCAGCCAUACCAGUUGCCACCACCAGAGCAGGUGAUCUGGACCUUCUCUC